rnacentral:rRNA from 1 species
AAGUCGAACGAAGCUUGACGAAUGAUUUCUUCGGAAUGAAAUCUGAUAUGACUGAGUGGCGGACGGGUGAGUAACGCGUGAGCAACCUGCCCUUCGGAACGGGAUAGUGUCUGGAAACGGACAGUAAUACCGUAUAACGUAUUUUUACCGCAUGAUAGAAAUACCAAAACUGAGGUGCCGAAGGAUGGGCUCGCGUCUGAUUAGAUAGUUGGUGGGGUAACGGCCUACCAAGUCGACGAUCAGUAGCCGGACUGAGAGGUUGAACGGCCACAUUGGGACUGAGACACGGCCCAGACUCCUACGGGAGGCAGCAGUGGGGAAUAUUGCACAAUGGGGGAAACCCUGAUGCAGCAACGCCGCGUGAAGGAAGACGGUUUUCGGAUUGUAAACUUCUGUUCUUAGUGAAGAAUAAUGACGGUAGCUAAGGAGCAAGCCACGGCUAACUACGUGCCAGCAGCCGCGGUAAUACGUAGGUGGCAAGCGUUGUCCGGAAUUACUGGGUGUAAAGGGAGCGUAGGCGGGAUGCCAAGUCAGCUGUGAAAACUAUGGGCUUAACCUGUAGACUGCAGUUGAAACUGGUAUUCUUGAGUGAAGUAGAGGUUGGCGGAAUUCCGAGUGUAGCGGUGAAAUGCGUAGAUAUUCGGAGGACACCGGUGGCGAAGGCGGCCAACUGGGCUUUAACUGACGCU